rnacentral:rRNA from 1 species
UGCGUAGGUGGCGGGGUAAGUCGGAUGUGAAAGCUCGGAGCUCAACUCCGAAAUGGCAUUGGAAACUACCUUGCUCGAGGGUUGGAGGGGGGACGUGGAAUUCUCGGUGUAGCAGUGAAAUGCGUAGAUAUCGAGAGGAACACCAGUGGCGAAGGCGAGUCCCUGGACAACUCCUGACACUGAGGCACGAAAGCUAGGGGAGCAAACA